UAACCCAUCAAGCAUGAGGGAAAAUGAAGCUCAGAAGCUCAAUUUCAUGGUCAUUUUCUCACUUCUACUGAUUUUCUGAGAAUGUGUUUGAGUUGUUAAUGAUGUUUGAUCAAAGCUAACACAAACAGUGAGUAGAUCUAAAGGUGAACAAGUUUGAUGAGAUAAGGAUGAGGACAUAUAGGACGUGCCAUAAUUGAUUAAACGAGAUUUAUUUAUAUUUUUAUGCCGUUGGACUUUGUUUGAAGUUGUAUGGAUUAUU
rnacentral:lncRNA from 1 species